rnacentral:rRNA from 1 species
GGCGGCGUGCCUAACACAUGCAAGUCGUACGAGAAAGUUGGCUUCGGCCGAUGAGUAAAGUGGCGCACGGGUGAGUAAUGCGUGGAUAAUCUGCCCUUUAGUUGGGAAUAACGUACCGAAAGGUGCGCUAAUACCUGAUAAUACUGCAUAACUACUGUUGUGUAGUCAAAGAAGGCCUCUGUUUACAAGCUUUUGCUGAAGGAUGAGUCCGCGUACCAUUAGCUGGUUGGUGGGGUAAUGGCCUACCAAGGCUACGAUGGUUAGCUGGUCUGAGAGGAUGAUCAGCCACACUGGAACUGAGACACGGUCCAGACUCCUACGGGAGGCAGCAGUGAGGAAUAUUGCGCAAUGGGGGCAACCCUGACGCAGCAACGCCGCGUGAGUGAGGAAGGUUUUCGGACCGUAAAGCUCUGUCGAGCGGGAAGAACACCAUGGGGACGAAUAAGCUUCAUGGCUGACGGUACCACCAGAGGAAGCACCGGCUAACUCCGUG